GGGCCGGUAGUUUAGCCUGGUAGAAUGUUAGUUGGUGAGGAGGUCUCGAGUUCAAAUCUCGACCGGUCCACCA
rnacentral:tRNA from 1 species